GCCCAACUGCCAGUGGCCCUGGAGCCCUCAGCUCCCCAACUCCCGCAGGCCCCCCAACUGCCUGCUUCCGGACAGAUCAAGGGCCCAUUCCUGAGGGGGUACUCAGCACAGAACCACCGUGAAGGAACCCUGCCCAGAGUUCCCGGUGCCACCGCAGAGGCCCUGAGCUUUCCCCCUUGCUUCAGUGCAGCUCAGGACCCUGCGGCACCGCCCCUGCCCCACCUCCAGUGGGAGCACCUCGGCCUCAUCCGCAGACCUACCAGCCAGCGGCCCCCAGGAGGCAGGCUGAGGGGUGGGGAUGAGGAAGAGGGCGUGGCUGGUGCCCCGGGUGAGGGCAGGCACUUCCUGUCCUGUCGGCCAGGGUGGCUGCAGCGGCUGUCUUUCAUGCCUCUUCUUCCACCCAGCACCUCAACCCCAGGGCCCCAAAAGUCCCAGGCUGUCAGAAGUGGUCCAGGCGGGUGGCAGGGACGAUGCUGGAUUGAUUUAUUUCACACAUUCAGACCCGACACACUCAGACACUUUGGGGCCCUGUAAGGGCUAAGCAGAGGGCGCGGCGUCAGCUCAUGGGGAGGCCCCACUCCCUGGGAAGGAAAUACAGGACAGGAGGCCGCAUCCAGCGCCCCCCACGGAGGGACCAGUGUUGCUCUAACAGGGACACUGAGGUUGCCUCCAACGCCCUGUGAGAAAUGGCCCUGUGGUGACCAGAGACCCAGCCCAGCCAGGCAGGCAGGGAGCCUUCGAGGAACCCUCAGGUGGGCAGGUGGGGGUCUUCUCAGCCCCAGUGCCCACGAACCCUCCUAGCCACCUGGGCUAGGCCAGACGUCCUCCCAGGCCAGCAGGAGACUGACUCCUGCAUUUGCACUUGGUGGCUGGCAGGGGUGGGGCACGGAGGUGUACAACGCCUGCCCACUCCAGGGAAACGGAGGAGCCACGGCCGGGUCCCCACAUGCUAGCAGGCCUGCCUUCCCAGCCAGUUCCACAGGGCAGCGCCUCCAAGCUCUGAGGCUCGGGGACUAAGGCAGGGGUGGGCGUAGGCUCAGACUCCAAGUUCCAGGGGCCAGGGGACCGAGGCAGGGCUGGGGGUGGGCUCAGACUCCUAGUUCCAGGGGUAGGGGGACCCAGGCAGGGCUGGGCAUGGGGCUCAGGGCCUCUUGACACCGCAGCACGGGGCCUGUCACCCCAGUUCUCCGGGUCUGUGUCCUCAAGUCAGAUGCAGGCUGGGGAGUGCACGUCGGGAUCUCCCUGUGGCGGCGAUGCCGUGAGGCUGCUCUCAGGGCUGUCCCACCCUCUAAACCCUGGCGUGACAUGUCCACGGCUCAAGCUCAGGAACCACAGGCCGGCUCACAUCUGUAAGUCCGCUGGUGUGGAGGCAGGAGGAGCCCUUCUGCAGCAGGACGGCCCUCAGGACAGCAGCGGGGUUGAGGGCUCUGUCUCUUGCCCUGCUGCUGGCUCCCGAGCCUGAGAGCCUGGAAGGGGGCUACACAUACACAGCUGAUCCCUCGAGGCGAAGGAACCUAGGUGAUGAGGGUGGCAGCUGGGCCUGCGCAGAGAGGCGCCAAGGGUGGAGACCACAACAGGGUCAGUCCCUCCAGAGUCCGUCCCAGGCCUGCCGUCCCCGGCCCAGCUGCAGGGUGCACGCCAUUGCCGCUGCUGGGGAGCGUGGUUUGGGCCGAGAAAGCAGUGACUCUGAGAGGAGGUGUGGAGGGGGCCCACGGUGCCAGCUCUGGUGCCCACCAUGGGCGGGGCUGGGUCUCACGUCUGGGCCAGCGAGAGCUCCUCCAAGCCUCCCUUCCCCAGGCGGUACCUGGCAAGGUCCUUCCUGGUCACCAGUCCAACAACCUGCAGGACAAGGCCAGGCCACAGAGACCCAUGGGUCAGCCCCCGCCUGCCUAUGGAGGGCCCUGGGCAGCACAGCCGGGGAGCCCUGCGGGCUUCAGCACAGCCCAAGCUGAGCACGGGGCAUGGGCCGUGGUGCUGAGUCCGCGCCUCAGCGUCCCCGGCACGGAGAUGAGAUAAACAUGUGCAGCAGACAGAGGGCCCUGCGCAGCCCAGCGCGUCCCCGCCCCCGCUCACCUGAUUGCGGUUGUCCACCACCACCAGGUGCCGCAGGCCCAGGGCCCGGAACAGCUUGAACACACGCGGGAGCGACGCCUCCUGCAGCGGGACGCAGCAGUCAGCACCUGCCCACACGCCAGAGGCAGGCAGGACCUCCCCUGGCUCCCAGCACCCACUCCACAGUGUCUAGGCACGUCCUGGGCCCCCACACCCGUCUGGUCAGCCUGUUCGGCCCCGACUUUGGCUCUGCAACCCAAACCCUCAAUCCCUGCUGCUGCCCAGCGAUCCUGGAAGUCCUGCCAGGCCCCCUUCCCGGGAGACAGAGUCAUUGAGUCCUGGCCCCCUCUCGCCCUCCCCUGUGCCCCUGGCCACUCCUCCAGGAGGCUCUGGAUCACAUAGCCCACUGUUUGGCCCCGAGCCCAUGCCUCCACUCUGCACGUGCCUGGGGCACUGUGUAGGGGGAGGGGUUCAUGAACUCGGAGAGGUCCAUGGUGCACUCCCGCUCGUCCUGGGACACGUGGAUGGACUGGAUGGGCGGGAAGCGCGGGUAGGCGUCCCGGAAGUCCUUCAGCCUCAGGCGCCGCUGCACCAGGCCCAUGUUGGAGCGCUCCACAAACACCUGCGGGCGGCAGGUUCCCCGUCAGGCAGCUGCGCAGCAUCCCAGGGGCUCCUGCCUCCCGGCGUUCCAGAGCCUGGCAUGUACCUUGUGCUUGAGGAGGACGAUGAGCUGGGAGCGCAGGAUCAGGCCCUGGAGCCGGGCUGGCUGCAAGAGACGCCUGCUGUCAGAGCCACGGUGCCCGAGGCGGGGCCGUGCUGGGAUGCUGUGCUGGGCCCCAGCUCCGACCCUGCUCUAGCCCAGUGCCCCAUCUGGGUGUGUGUGCUGUGUCAAUGGCCACCUGCUCACACCAGCCUCACCGUGGCAUUCCAUGUGCACAAUGCCACAGGUUCCCAAGGAUGGGUGACAGGGCAGGAGGUCUGACUGCACAUAGCAGAAAGCCAGGGCCCAGGGAGGGGGGCUCUGCUGCAGGGUAGACGCAGCUCCAUUGUGCCCAAUAAAAACCAUCCCCAAACCCCUAGUGGCCAUGUCCAAGGGGCACACGGCAGUGGCCGAGCUGCGUGUUGUGUCAGGACCUCCUGACGAAGGCCUGGCCACGCCCAGCCCGGGUGCUGACCUCAAGGCCCUGACAGGCCACAACCCCACCCAGCCUCGGCACCCACACGGCCCUACAUGGCCCCACAGUGAGCCCCCAGCGCUCCUGGAACCGACAGUGCACCCGAAUGCGCUGCCUCCCCAUCCUGCCAACCUCCCCAUGUGCUUCCCACCGCUGGGCUGGACGGAGGUGUCGCGAGUGAGAUCCAGCCUGGGGGGCGCCCGGUACCUGGCUGUCGUCUGCAUGCUCCACCACAGGGAAGCCGUUGUGAUUGGACGCCGGGUCGCUCAGCACAUCCACAAUGACACCGACCUUCUCACGCCGCCUCAGGCAGGUCACCGGUGUGCUCAUCACCUCCCUGCCGGAGUAGCCCGGCCACACAGGCCCGUCAUGCGCCACCAACUCCCACGGUCACCCCCAGAGGCUGCUGCGGUGUGAAGCUGCUGGGUGGGAAACGCGGAGCCGCCUGGAGCCCGCGAGCCGCACAUCCCACCCCUGUGCAACAAGAGCCACUGGACACCCUCCCUGCCCACAGCUGCCACGUGCCAUACCUGGCAGUGAGCGAGUGCGAGGUGACCGGGGCCUCCCAGUGCAGGAAGGGCACGCUCUGCAGCUGAAUGUGCAUGUCGUACAGGCCCUGCAGGCGGACGGGACACGGGGCUGGAGGCCACGCCCACCCCUCGGGACAGGCUGUUUGGAGGCUGGGCGCUCAGAGGGCCCUCCCCCACGACCACCCCAACACUCUCAGGGUGAGGCUUUGAGCCCUGUGCACCUCGAUGAAGACGUCGCCCACAAUCUUGGCGGUCAUGAGCACCAGCAUGAUGGGGAAGCCGUAGGUCACGUUGCUGGUGGCCUCCAUCAUGAUGACCGUAAGGCUCAGCGUCAUCCGCACGAUCCCACCUGCGGGAGCACUCAUGAGCCCCGGCACGUCCACCCUCCCAGCUCAGGGGCACAUGGCCACCGCCUUUUCUGUACAGCCCACGGUCCGCCUGCCCCAGACCCGAGCCCUGCAAGGAUGGCCACAGCCCCCUCCUGACCCUGUGGAGCCAGCCCCCGCGCCCACCAGGCAAGAGCCAGGACCUACCCAGCUGGGCAGCAGCUCCCAUCAGGGCAUAUUUCCCGGGGUCCGCCCAGAUCUGCGGGAGGUGACAUGGAGGUGUCAAGGUGGUGGCAGGCCCCUUCCCAAACCCACCAAGAUACAGAGGAGGCCUGCCCCGGAACCUGACGCCCAGGAGCGAACCCCAUGGCGGCAGACACACGCACAGAACAACUGAGCACAGCACGGCCUGCUGGGGACACCGCGCCUUCUGCCUGUACCCGGCAUUCAGUGCCUGAGCGACAGGAAUGCAGGGUGCAAAGGGCAUAGCCACCCACACAGCAUGCCCACGCCGACUGGGGAGCACCACCCAGCCUGAGGAGCGGAACUCCAGCACACAGGACACAGAGGGCCCCGGGAACAUGAGGCUUGGUCACAGAACCCAUGCACGGAAGGCCACUCACGGUGACUCCCCCUAGAGGCAAUGUCGGGGGCAGGCAGAGCCAGAGUCUGGAGGACCCCAGUGGCUGCCGGGGCUAGGGGCCGGGGAAAUUGAGGCAUGAGUGCAUGUGGGCCCAGGGUUUCCGCUCUGGGAUGACAGAAAGUUCUAGAAGUGUUAGUGACAAUCAAACUACCUCAUGGAUGUGAGAAACGCUAAGAAAUUGUCCACUUUAAAAGGGUAAACCUCAUGGCAUGUGAAUCAUGUUUGUAUGUUAAAAAUCAAACCAAAUCAAGCCCUUGUGUAGAGGAAGACAAGCAGAGCACACGGGCAUGGGGAGCGGGAGGGGGGCUUCCAGUGUCAUUUAAAUGACUGAAAUGAGAAAUGGAGGACACGAAGGAACCCAGCCCCAGCGGAGGCAGGCGGAGGAGGCAGGCCUGUGGGCCGAGGGCUGGUAGGCAGCGAAUGCUGCUCUGGCCCCGGCCUCCCGGAGAGCAGCCCUGGUGGGGUGUCUGCCCCGUGGAGUCCAGCAGCACCUCUGCAGCAGCCCAGAGUCACCCCUGCUUUUCAUCACAUUCUCACGAAUGAGGAGAGGAGCCUCCGCCCCCAGGCUCGGCCGGGGUCAGACUACGCGGGAGCUGUGCCACCGCCGCAGUGAGCGUGCUUCCCCACAGUGGGGCAACUGCCACAGCCAGUGAACCACGCGAGGCGCAGCGCCCUGGGAGGCCGCAAGACCUGCACAUCUCACGGCAGGCCCCGCAGCCUCUCCAGCCCCACUCACCGCUGCCCCUGUGAGGUAUGACAGGGAGAUGCCAAACAGCCGGCCCCAGGCGGCCCCGAUGAGCAGGGAUGGGAUAAAGACCCCGGCAGACACUGUGAGCCCGUAGGUCCAGCAGGCCAGGAAGAAGUAGACCAGCGUGAACAGGCCGAGGGUCAGGGGGUUGUAGGAGCCUAGGGAAGAAGAGGGGCUGAUGGGGCCUUCACGGGACUCGCGCCCCAGGCAGGGGCCCCGCUGCCCAGCCUCAGGCCUCACAGUCACCUUCCAGGAGCCUAGCAAUCUGAACCCCAGGCCCCGCGGUUCCCAGAAGCCUCCCCGUUCUCAGCCUCCCGGGGAAGCAGGAAGGCUGGAGGCUCCCACAGGGCUCUGAUGCCGGCGGCAGCAGCAGGAGCCAGGUCCAGACUCCACAGGCGGGCACCACGGUGCAGCGUGCAGCCUGGCUCUGGGAAGAGGGCGCCCUCCACAGCCUGGAGGUCCCUUCCUGGGGCAGGCGGCAUUGUACUGGGUGUGGGUCAAGCGGGGCCACUGGAGGACGCAAUCGCAGAGGUAUAAAGCAGGCACUCCGAAGCCCUGGUCCGGCUUCCACGAAAAGCUGUGGUCGGGCCAGGCCAGACCUUGCACGGUUUGAGGGUUCGCGCUCUCUCAAACCAGGCUGGGUUUUCUUCUCUUUUUUUGAGAGAGGGUCUCACUCUGUCACCCAGGCUGGUGUGCAGUGGUGUAAUCACAACUCACUGUGGCCUCAACCUCCUGGGCUCAAGUGAUCCUCCCACCCCAGCCUCCUGAGUACCCAGGACUGUGGGCACACCUCUGUCCCAGAUAAUCUUGCUUUUUUGGUAAAGACAGGGUCUUGCUGUGCUGCCCAGGCUGGUCUUGACCUGGGCUCAAGCGAUCCUUCUGCCUUGGUCUCCCAAACUGCUGGGAUUACAGCAGCAAGCCCGUGCUAUAAUCCACGCUGGGGAUGAUCCCCCCGCCCAGGGCUGCAACCUCAGCCCACAGGGACACUCAGCCAGAAGGCAUGACCCAUGCCCUCAUCCAAGCACCUGCCCGGUGGCACUGCCAGCACACACCUGGCGGAUCGUGGAAGAGGCUCACUACACUCUUCUCCGGGGUGUUGAAGAAGGCCGCAGCCAUGGAGUUGUACUCGCCGUCCGCACAGAAGAGCUGUGAGGUCAGGAGAGAGCACGUUGGGAGGGAGACAGGCCGGAGGGCUCAGACAGACUUGGUGUCGCCAUGUGCACCGUGUAUGCUGCCUGGCCAGCAUCGCUGAGAGACCGUAUGACCCUGCCACUGGGUCAGGGCCAUAGCCACAGAGGGGAAGGAGGACAAGCGGCCCAGGCCCAGACCCAGACCCAGCAGGGGCUGCAGAGCCACGUCCAGCCCUGGGGUGGGUCAGUAGGCCCCUGGCCUGGGAAACCGUCCAUCCCUGGAGCCAGGGGAAGGUGGGCCCAGACGCUCCCAUCAGCUCCUAGAGGAGGCUGUCUCUGGGCUCCGGCAGCACUGGGGGUGCUGUCCACGGAUGGCAGCAGAGUACAGCAAGGCUGGUCAACCCCACAGCCUGGGCCUCCCACACUUCUGACUGUUCACGCCUGUCCUGUCAGCACCCACCACAUCUGGCCUGCCCCGGCCCUCACUGGUCUGCUGGGCCUGUGACUUCCCCUGUUCUGGGUGUUUCACGUUAACAGGGCUACACUAGGUGGCCUCCUGUGUGGCUCCUCUGAGCACCGUGUCUUCCAGGGCAACCGUGUCACCGUGUGGAAGGACACAUGGGCUACGGUAAGCCAUGAGCACCAGGCACAGGCUGGGGUAUGGAUGGAGAUUUGCAUUUCUCCUGGGUCCACAUCUGCGGGGCCCCGGGCUUCUGAGGCUCUUCCCGUCGGGCUGCCAUUCUGGGAAGAGGACUGGGAGAGCCUUUGGCCCCACACCACCGCCUGUUCCCGACACCUUGGCAGACACCUGGCCUGCUCUGACAUCUGGGCAGACGGCGCUAGCCCUCCCUGAGACAUGCCAGCCAGUGUGCGUCUAGAACUCCAUGCAGCGGGCAGCCCCCUCCCGAGGCCUCAGCAAGGCUUCUGAAGGCAGUCCUGCGGCUACUGCCCUGCCUGCUGGACCCCGCCCGGCCCGGGCCUCCUACCUGCAGGGGGUAGGACAUGGAGCUCCCCUGCAGGGGCUGGCAAUCCCGAGACGAGUAAAUCAGCACAAAAGCGACUGUGGCCGUGACUGCAGCCACCAGCAUGGCCUCGAUCACCUGCAGGCAGGGCCGGUGGAUGUACCUGGAACCAAGAGUCAGGCUGCACCACGGGCGAGACGGCGGCACGGCCCCUUGGCAUUUGCCAGGCAGCCUGCAUCCCAGAUUGAGGACACUGGGCCUGUGUUUCAGCAGCAGUCAGGCCGCCCAAUGUCCCUGGGGCAAGGACUCCCACAGCAACUCCUCCUGACGAGUGGGAGGCGGCCCUGCCAGUGCUCCCGCUGCGCCUAGCAGUACUGAAACUGGCACAGACCAAGGAGGAAUAAGCUAGGAGCUCCCGGAGUCCCAGGACGGCUCCAGCUGCUACCAGGGCAGAGCUGGGCAAAGGCCGGGGAUACCUCACCAGGCCCAAUCCUGCACCCAGAGCAGCCUCGCUCCCUCCCCAGGGGCCGUCCUCCAGGAGCCCUGGCUCUCCCAGCCUCAGGCUUGCCUAUGCCCUCCAGGGUCCAGGACACAUCUCUGAGCAGCUCAAGCAAUGAAGCCAACAGGGUGGGCACUGAGCACACAGCCUUUCUUCCAGACGUGGCCAAAGGGCAUAAACCCCACACCACGUCUUUUUUUUUUUUUUUGAGAGGGAGUCUCACUCUGUCACCCAGGCUGGAGUGCAGUGGCAUGGUCUCAGCUCACUCUAACCUUUGCUUCCCAUAUUCAAAUGAUUCUCCUGCCUCAGUCUCCCAAGUAGCUUGGAUUACACUUGCCCACCACCACUGGGAUGGUCUUGACCUCCUGACGUCAUGAUCCGGUCGCCUCGGCCUCCCAAAGUGCUGGGACUACAGGUGUGAGCCACCACGCCCUGCCUACUACAUCUGCUUUCAAAGGGCCUGUGUGGCCACGCCUGCCAGUGCGAUAUGCAAGGCGGUUUCUCCCUCACCUGAUCCGAAACAUGGUCAGCCAGUAGUUCAAGGCAUUGAACACAGCUCCGAGCACACCGCCUGCAGCCAGGGGAAAGCCCAGUCAGCUACGUGGGAGGGAAGGCGCAGGCCUCCACCGGCUCCCAGAGGGGAAAAGGUGCAGUAAACGCUGUUAGGACCAAUCCUGCCUCCUGGAAGAAAACCCGCCCGCCCUGAGCCCUGUGGCUUUGCCCACAGAGAAGAAAACAGGAAACCGGGAAGCAAAGCUCUUCGAGUGUGCGCUGCCCGUGGACGCAUCUGGAGGGAGCAGGCCCCUGGUGGCCCUGGGGUGGGGGCAGGCUCGAGGCUGUCGUGGCCUCUUGUCCUUGCCUCUCUGGCCGUGUCACGGCUGAGCUCGGCCCACAGGCCGGCCUGCAGCGCUGGGGGAGCCCUUACCUACCACGCCCAUGGCGAUGAAGACAGGAAUCUCGUGGAUGGUGUAGGCCAUUUUCUGUGGAGAGAGGGAGAAGGUGGAAGAGGGGAGGGAAAGGGCCCACAGCUCCUCUCUGCUGAAAGUCAGGACCACCAUCAUGAGAGCUGUCCCCACACGGAGCCUUCCCGCACUUCCAUGCAGGCCACAGAAGUCCACGGGACAGAAACACGCUGGGUGUUUGUAGCAGGCCUGGCCCUACAUGCCUCUGCCACUUCCUGCCACCCUGGGCACCUGGGGCGGGGAGCGCCCAAGCACUGGGAACACAGUCCGUGAGCCCUGGGUUUCCCACACACAGAGCCGUCCUGCAGUGCGUCCAGAACCUGCCCUGUCGACAGCACGGAGAGGCCGCAGCCCAGGCCCCAGGCUGCCCUGAAAACAAGGCCCGAGCCCACCGGCCCCCACAGCGGCUGCUGCACGUACCCCCAGGCUGCGGGAGGUCCCAAGCAUGCCACAGCUGUGUGACGUGUGCACAGGGCACCCGGACCCAAGAGGCAGCUUGGGGUGCCGUCCUGCAGCCCCUCAGGCCCUGGAGCUCACACAAGCGCUCAGCUCCACAGCGACCAGCCAGAGUUUCCAAAGGACCGAAUUCUCAGUCUGGCCUUAAGCAAACAGGGUCCUGGCCCAGGACUCAAGGGGGUGAGCCGGGCAGCUUACCUCCGAG